GACGAACGCUGGCGGCGUGCUUAACACAUGCAAGUCGAACGGAAAGGCCCUGCUUUUGUGGGGUGCUCGAGUGGCGAACGGGUGAGUAACACGUGAGUAACCUGCCCUUGACUUUGGGAUAACUUCAGGAAACUGGGGCUAAUACCGGAUAGGAGCUCCUGCUGCAUGGUGGGGGUUGGAAAGUUUCGGCGGUUGGGGAUGGACUGGCGGCUUAUCAGCUUGUUGGUGGGGUAGUGGCUUACCAAGGCUUUGAAGGGUAGCCGGCCUGAGAGGGUGACCGGCCACAUUGGGACUGAGAUACGGCCCAGACUCCAACGGGAGGCAGCAGCGGGGAAUAUUGCACAGUGAGCGGAAGCCUGAUGCAGCAACGCCGCGUGCGGGAUGACGGCCUUCGGGUUAAAAACCGCUUUCGCCUGUGACGAAGCGUGAGUGACGGUAAUGGGUAAAGAAGCACCGGCUAACUACGUG
rnacentral:rRNA from 1 species